rnacentral:rRNA from 1 species
GACGAACGCUGGCGGCGUGCUUAACACAUGCAAGUCGAACGGUAAGGCCCUUCGGGGUACACGAGUGGCGAACGGGUGAGUAACACGUGGGUAAUCUGCCCUGCACAUCGGGAUAAGCCUGGGAAACUGGGUCUAAUACCGAAUAGGACCACAGGACACAUGUCCUGUGGUGGAAAGCUUUUGCGGUGUGGGAUGGGCCCGCGGCCUAUCAGCUUGUUGGUGGGGUGAUGGCCUACCAAGGCGACGACGGGUAGCCGGCCUGAGAGGGUGUCCGGCCACACUGGGACUGAGAUACGGCCCAGACUCCUACGGGAGGCAGCAGUGGGGAAUAUUGCACAAUGGGCGAAAGCCUGAUGCAGCGACGCCGCGUGGGGAUGACGGCCUUCGGGUUGUAAACCUCUUUCACCAUCGACGAAGGUCCGGGUUUUCUCGGGCUGACGGUAGGUGGAGAAGAAGCACCGGCCAACUACGUG